AGAGCUGCAUCGUGAAGUACCUGCAGACCAGCAAGUACUGCCCCAUGUGCAACACCAAGAUCCACGAGACACAGCCGCUGCUCAACCUCAAGCUGGACCGUGUCAUGCAGGACAUCGUCUACAAGCUGGUGCCCGGCCUGCAGGAGAGAUCCGACCAGCCCUUGGGGGAGGAUCUUCAUGCAUAAAAGCAGUUUUAGAGCAGAGAAAAAGAAAGCAGGAACACAGUGCUCACAAAGGUGAAGAGAAGAGGAUC